UACACAUUUUACCAUAUUUUCAUUGUAAUUCUUAAUUUUGCAACCAGUAAAAAGAAAAGUAUUUAGUUGGAUAACUACGUGUAGAUUCUUGGGUCGGAGAUUGUCUCUUUUUAGCGGCAUAUAACGGGAAUGGAAAAUGUGUGAUGGAGAACGUCAUGUCGCUGCCCUGAAGGAGAAGAGGAGCUCCGUGGUGGAUCAGCUGAAGCAGCUCCAGAGACAGAGCUCAUUGUCCAGAUGUUUGAAGAUCCAGAGACCACACGGCAGAUGGAGUCCACAAGAGACGGGAGGAUGCUGUUCGACUACCUGUCAGAGAAACACCAUGGACAUACAAGGAAGACUGUGAGUCGUCUACUUGAUCACUGCAAGUUCAUGACCUGCAGUCUCUGGUUAAUUGUCAAGCAGGAAGUUACCUGACAGUGACAGUGAGUCACUCCAGUAGAGGACCUGGCUCAUCCACUGGUCCCUCUUCAUCUUCUUCAACCAUCCCAAAGGCUGAGACAAUAUCAUCGAGCUCUUCCUCUACCAGCCUCGUCUGUUAGUUAGGUGGUGGAAGGAUGUGGUAUGAGUCAGGGAAGAACCCACUGAAUCUGGGUGUGGAUCCAAAUGUGGCUUCCUAAUGGGACUGUUGGACCCUGACAGAGAUUCUCGUGAACGAUGGCCUUGAGGACUUCACUGAAAACACCCGUCUCUUCAUCUUUGAGAUCUUCAGUCGGAUUCAUCAGUUCAUGAGCAUCCGGUGGAGGAAACAGACUCACGGAGUGCUGCCAGACGAGCUCCACAUGACGCCCGAGGAGGCGGAGCGGUGGAUCCUCAAACUCAUCCCAAACGCCAGGCUCGAUGCCGAGAUGGACUCCAAGCUGGUGAGGCGCUGCAUUCACUGAUCCACCUUAAGUCAGACAGGCUUCAAGUCCCUGAUCCACACGUAAUCUCACCAGACGACUGA